rnacentral:rRNA from 1 species
UUGGAGGGCAAGUCUGGUGCCAGCAGCCGCGGUAAUUCCAGCUCCAAUAGCGUAUAUUAAAGUUGUUGCAGUUAAAAAGCUCGUAGUUGAAUUUCGGGAUCAGUACGCUGGUCGUGCCUUGAUAUGCACUGGUGUCACUGAUCCCUCCCUUCUGAAGAACCGUUAUGCCAUUUAUUUGGUGUGAUGGGGAAUCGGGACUGUUACUUUGAAAAAAUUAGAGUGUUUAAAGCAGGCUCGCGCUUGAAUACAUUAGCAUGGAAUAAUGAAAUAGGACGUUUGAUCUUAUUUUGUUGGUUUCUAGGAUCGACGUAAUGAUUAAUAGGGAUAGUUGGGGGCAUUAGUAUUCAAUUGUCAGAGGUGAAAUUCUUGGAUUUAUUGAAGACUAACUACUGCGAAAGCAUUUGCCAAGGAUGUUUUCAUUAAUCAAGAACGAAAGUUAGGGGAUCGAAGACGAUCAGAUACCGUCGUAGUCUUAACCAUAAACUAUGCCGACUAGGGAUCGGAUGAUGUUAUUUUUAAUGACUCAUUCGGCGCCUUACGGGAAACCAAAGUGUUUGGGUUC